rnacentral:rRNA from 1 species
GUCCACGCUGUAAACGAUGAGUGCUAGACGUUGGGGACUCAGUCCCUUGGUGUCGCAGCUAACGCAUGAAGCACUCCGCCUGGGGAGUACGGCCGCAAGGUUAAACUCAAAGGAAUUGACGGGGCCCGCACAAGCGGUGGAGCAUGUGGUUUAAUUCGACGCAACGCGCAGAACCUUACCAGCUCUUUACAUGGGGGUUAUGGGACCGGGAGAUCGGUCUCUUCAGUUCGGCUGGGCCCCCACACAGGUGCUGCAUGGCUGUCGU